rnacentral:rRNA from 1 species
UACGUAGGGUGCAAGCGUUAAUCGGAAUUACUGGGCGUAAAGCGUGCGCAGGCGGUUGUGCAAGACAGAUGUGAAAUCCCCGGGCUCAACCUGGGAACUGCAUUUGUGACUGCACGGCUAGAGUGUGUCAGGGGGGGGUAGAAUUCCACGUGUAGCAGUGAAAUGCGUAGAGAUGUGGAGGAACACCGAUGGCGAAGGCAGCCUCCUGGGCUAGUACUGACGCUCAUGCACGAAAGCGUGGGGAGCAAACAGG